GUUUGGGUGUGUGGUUUUUGGUGGGUGUGUGUAAGAGUGAAUUAGGUCUAUACGAGGAUUUUUCAGUAUGUUUUGAGGCCAUCAACAGGCUAGCUCCGUGUCAAUGGGCCCUUAUAACAACUGUCCAUUAUUGAUUACCCGCUUCGUUUCCAGGUGACGACAGGCAGAAUGAGGUGGACGUGGCGGAGGCUGUGGGCGGUCAAUUCACGGCGCAGGUUACCCACACCUUGCACCACGCUGACUGCCCGCCGCUGUUCACAAAAUUCGGGCAAGCCUGUAUCUCCGUGUUCUGCCCUGGAUAUAGGAGUAAAAGUGCAAUAGUGGCAGAGCUGCAGACGACCCCCGCACGGAAGAGCAACAACAAUCUGGCAGUCAGUCAGUCAGUCAGUUCUCCCACAGUGCUGGCAGUUGCAUCCCGAACCAGCGCAUAUGUGACAGCAUCAAUGAUUGCUGCAGUAACGGAGAGGAUGAGUUUGUGCAGCUGUGUGGGAUUGAGGAGUGCCGGGAGAAGAAUAUCGGGUGUGUGUGAGCCUGUUUACAUCAACACUCGAGAGUCAUACUACUGCCAGUGCCGGCCAUGCAGUGUACAGACUCGUGUCAGAAAGUUCAAGUAUGAAGACAUUGACGAGUGCGUGGAGUCGCCCAGAUCUUCUCCUGUGGACCAUCCCCUCAGCAGUAUUCGAUCCGCCCAGCAGCAGUAACGGUUAUGAGAAGGCGGUCAUUGAAGUGUCAACUCCCCAAGCUGGCACCGUGGUGGGUGUUGUGCUGGGCUCCCUUGGGGUUCUUUGCCUAGCUGUUGGGUGUACAGAUGCUUGUCAAGUUUCUGAAGAUACGUCGACGUGUUAUCAUCCACGCAAGCUUCCCCAACCCAACCAGUGUACCACAAGACAACAGGUAGGACAGGAGGACAAGAGGAGGGAGUGAGCGGCUGCAUGCACUAUUGAACGGGACAGCAUUACAUUCUUCCCACAGUUGUAUGACAACACUGAAGCAAGCCCAGAAUAAAGUGUUGAGUGACCAUGAUUACUACUAACGCUAAAGAAGUGAGGGAAGUGUUUGGAGUGAGCGUGCAAGACGUACAACAGACAACAGACUGCUACUGCCGGUGUAGCCAAAGGAACAAGAGGAGG
rnacentral:lncRNA from 1 species